rnacentral:rRNA from 1 species
CAGUAGCCGCGGUAAUACGAAGGGUGCAAGCGUUAAUCGGAAUUACUGGGCGUAAAGCGUGCGUAGGCGGUGAGUUAAGUCUGCUGUGAAAUCCCCGGGCUCAACCUGGGAAUGGCAGUGGAUACUGGCUCGCUAGAGUGUGUCAGAGGAUGGUGGAAUUCCCGGUGUAGCGGUGAAAUGCGUAGAGAUCGGGAGGAACAUCAGUGGCGAAGGCGGCUCACUGGCUCAUACUGGACGCUGAGGUGCGAAAGCGUGGGGAGCAAACAGGAUUAGAUACCCCCGUAGUCCCUGUCUCUUAUAC